GCCCUCGAAUUCCGAGCCUAUCCAUAUUUUUAUUUUUCAAUUCCGACAACUUUGAAUUUUUUACGGUAGCUACAAUGCUUUUUCCGGCAGCUACAGUGUUCCAGUUUUUUCCGGCAGCUACAGUUUUCAAUUUCCAGUUUUCUGUUUCAGUUUCAGCGAGUUUUCAGUUUAUAAUCCAACGAUGUCUUUGGGACUCGAUGCUUUCGGGUCUAGAAACCCGGGUUCUGGCAGUU
rnacentral:lncRNA from 1 species